CCCCUUCGUCUAGAGGCCUAGGACACCGCCCUUUCACGGCGGUAACAGGGGUUCGAAUCCCCUAGGGGAUGCCA
rnacentral:tRNA from 1 species